UAGGGAAUCUUGGACAAUGGGCGAAAGCCUGAUCCAGCCAUGCCGCGUGAGUGAAGAAGGCCUUAGGGUUGUAAAACUCUUUUAGCGGGGAAGAUAAUGACGGUACCCGCAGAAUAAGCCCCGGCUAACUUCGUGCCAGCAGCCGCGGUAAUACGAAGGGGGCUAGCGUUGUUCGGAAUUACUGGGCGUAAAGCGCACGCAGGCGGACUGAUUAGUCAGGGGUGAAAUCCCGGGGCUUAACCCCGGAACUGCCUUUGAUACUGUCAGUCUCGAGUCCGGGAGAGGUGAGUGGAAUUCCUAGUGUAGAGGUGAAAUUCGUAGAUAUUAGGAAGAACACCAGUGGCGAAGGCGGCUCACUGGCCCGGUACUGACGCUCAGGUGCGAAAGCGUGGGGAGCAAACAGG
rnacentral:rRNA from 1 species